GAUGAACGCUGGCGGCGUGCCUAAUACAUGCAAGUCGAGCGAACAGACGAGGAGCUUGCUCCUCUGACGUUAGCGGCGGACGGGCGAGUAACACGUGGAUAACCUACCUCUAAGACUGGGAUAACUUCGGGAAACCGGAGCUACUACCGGAUAAUAUAUUGAACCGCAUGGUUCAAUAGUGAAAGACGGUUUUGCUGUCACUUAUAGAUGGAUCCGCGCCGCAUUAGCUAGUUGGUAAGGUAACGGCUUACCAAGGCAACGAUGCGUAGCCGACCUGAGAGGGUGAUCGGCCACACUGGAACUGAGACACGGUCCAGACUCCUACGGGAGGCAGCAGUAGGGAAUCUUCCGCAAUGGGCGAAAGCCUGACGGAGCAACGCCGCGUGAGUGAUGAAGGUCUUCGGAUCGUAAAACUCUGUUAUUAGGGAAGAACAAAUGUGUAAGUAACUAUGCACGUCUUGACGGUACCUAAUCAGAAAGCCACGGCUAACUACGUG
rnacentral:rRNA from 1 species